rnacentral:rRNA from 1 species
UACGGGGGGGCAAGCGUUGUUCGGAAUUACUGGGCGUAAAGCGCACGUAGGCGGCUCCAAAAGUCGGAUGUGAAAUCCCUCGGCUCAACCAAGGAAGUGCACCCGAAACUGCGGAGCUUGAGUAUGGAAGAGGGUCGCGGAAUUCCCGGUGUAGAGGUGAAAUUCGUAGAUAUCAGGAGGAACACCAGUGGCGAAGGCGG